rnacentral:rRNA from 1 species
UACGGGGGGUGCAAGCGUUGUCCGGAAUCAUUGGGCGUAAAGCGUUCGUAGGCGGCAAGAUAAGUCAGAUGUUAAAGCCCGAGGCUCAACUUCGGUUCGGCAUUUGAUACUGUCUAGCUUGAAUGUGGUAGAGGUAAAGGGAAUUCCUGGUGUAGCGGUGAAAUGCGUAGAUAUCAGGAGGAACAUCGGUGGCGAAAGCGCUUUACUGGGCCAUUAUUGACGCUGAGGAACGAAAGCCAGGGGAGCAAAUG